rnacentral:rRNA from 1 species
GAUGAACGCUAGCUACAGGCUUAACACAUGCAAGUCGAGGGGAAACGACAUCGAAAGCUUGCUUUUGAUGGGCGUCGACCGGCGCACGGGUGAGUAACGCGUAUCCAACCUGCCCACCACUUGGGGAUAACCUUGCGAAAGUAAGACUAAUACCCAAUGAUAUCCCACGAAGGCAUCCGAAUGGGAUUAAAGAUUUAUCGGUGAUGGAUGGGGAUGCGUCUGAUUAGCUUGUUGGCGGGGUAACGGCCCACCAAGGCAACGAUCAGUAGGGGUUCUGAGAGGAAGGUCCCCCACAUUGGAACUGAGACACGGUCCAAACUCCUACGGGAGGCAGCAGUGAGGAAUAUUGGUCAAUGGGCGAGAGCCUGAACCAGCCAAGUAGCGUGCAGGAUGACGGCCCUAUGGGUUGUAAACUGCUUUUAUAAGGGAAUAAAGUGAGAGUCGUGACUCUUUUUGCAUGUACCUUAUGAAUAAGGACCGGCUAAUUCCGUG